rnacentral:rRNA from 1 species
UACGUAGGGUGCGAGCGUUAAUCGGAAUUACUGGGCGUAAAGCGUGCGCAGGCGGUUAUGUAAGACAGAUGUGAAAUCCCCGGGCUCAACCUGGGAACUGCAUUUGUGACUGCAUAGCUAGAGUACGGUAGAGGGGGAUGGAAUUCCGCGUGUAGCAGUGAAAUGCGUAGAGAUCGAGCGGAACACCAGUGGCGAAGGCGAGUUCCUGGACAAGUCCUGACGCUGAGGCACGAAAGCCAGGGGAGCAAACAGG